GACGAACGCUGGCGGCGUGCUUAACACAUGCAAGUCGAGCGGUAAGGCCCUUUCGGGGGUACACGAGCGGCGAACGGGUGAGUAACACGUGGGUGACCUGCCCUCAGCUCUGGGAUAAGCCUGGGAAACCGGGUCUAAUACUGGAUAUGACUCCAUGACGCAUGUUGUGGGGUGGAAAGCCUUGUGCGGCUGAGGAUGGGCCCGCGGCCUAUCAGCUUGUUGGUGGGGUGAUGGCCUACCAAGGCGACGACGGGUAGCCGGCCUGAGAGGGCGACCGGCCACACUGGGACUGAGACACGGCCCAGACUCCUACGGGAGGCAGCAGUGGGGAAUCUUGCGCAAUGGGCGAAAGCCUGACGCAGCGACGCCGCGU
rnacentral:rRNA from 1 species